rnacentral:misc_RNA from 1 species
AACGCACCUUGCGCUCCUUGGUAUUCCUUGGAGCAUGCCUGUUUGAGUAUCAUGGAAUUCUCAACUCCCAAGUUUCUUAUAGAAGCAUGGUGAGCUUGGACUUGGAGGAUUUGUGCUGGCUAUUAAUCUAGUCGGCUCCUCUGAAAUGCAUUAGCAUGAAUUUUGCGAUCAUCUUCAGUGUGAUAAUUGUCUACGCUGUGAAUGUGAAGCAAUUUAUAUUUAUGCUUAUAGUCGUCUUUUAAAGACACUUUCUUGACUUCUGAUCUCAAAUCAGGUAGGACUACCCGCUGAACUUAA